UUGGGCCGACAAAGGACGAAAAAUGGUACGCAGCGGUCGGAACAAUCUGUCGACGGUCGACCGAUCCGAUGACCUGACGGAGACAAUUACAAUAAACGGCGGAACUAUGUGACUUUUCAGACAAGUUUUCGUGGAGAAACCAGCUGUGACGGUGGAGGGCGGUUGCUGCCGUGUGCGACGACACGUGUUACUCAGGUGGCCCGGUCCCCGCCUUCGGUGGUUUCAAAUAUUUGCCACGUUUUCUCCUCACUCUGUUUAAAACUGCUUUUCGUUCUCAUUUUCUCUCCCUAAACGGAAAAUGGAAAUGAAGGAUGCGGUUAGUGAUUCAAAAGUCUCUGCCGCUUCUGAAGUAAUUUCGUUUUUUCUUCGUGAGAUUAUUUGGUACCAGAAGUCGCUGCGAUUGUGUGCGCCGUCGUCAUGAGCGGCAGCGGAGAGGCGACAGAAGAGCCGGCAGACAUUAGAGGAUCGAUCGGCAACAUUGCCGCCGUCGAAGCCGAAACAUGCAGAAUACGGCCAUGCACGAUCGUUCUGAGAGAGAAACAUGAGAAUGUUCUCUAAUCGAUCUUCUCGCGCAGUUCUUCGAGGAAAUAGCUUGCGAAUUUCCUUCGGUACUCCUUAUAUGAAGGUAAACGCUUCGACCGCAAGUUUUAGUGUAUUUCGUGGUGCUUGAUGCCUUUUUGGCUCCAAAAAAGAGAAGGGCGCUCUUCUCGAUUAGUGCAUGCGAUUCAAAGAUCAUUGCUAAUUAAUGCGAGUUCGUUCUACAUAUCUCGAUGCAAAUUACAUGAUUAUUCUCAUCAUAAAUUCUUCAAUUGCAGUAUUGUUUAAUGGAUUCGCUCAUGCGUUUGAGGAUCAUUUUAUUUCAUUUUAUUUUACCAAAGGAAUAGGCUGCAAUCAUUUACUAAUUACGAAACUAUAUUUUAGUACACUUACGAAUGGAUUAAAAAUACUUAGAAACUGAGAUCUGAGGAACUGGCUCAAGAACAAUCAUGGAGAUUAUUCACGAAAUUUUUAUCAAAUCGUAAGAAUCGUUUAUCAGGUCUUAUAAAACUAGGGUUUAAGACGUAAAAAAUUAAGGUUUUGUGUCUAUUAACUAGGGUUUAAGGCAUAAAUUGUUUUUGCAUAAUUGUGCUUGUUUACGUUACUUGAAAGUUGUUAUGGAAGUAAUGAUUAACGAUUUGAUUGAUCUUUCCAGCAGGAAAAGUUUGUGCUCCCAAACUGUUGCAAGAAAAUGGAAAUUUCUUGUGGUUCUAGUGGUUUUUAUUUUAUAAUUGUUUAUUAUUCCGUCCGUUGGGGAUAUUUGUUUUCCUUUUGUCGCUUUCCGAAGGUCUCAAAAGCAGAUUGGAGAGCGAGGGCUCAAUCUCAUUAUACGGUGGGCGGUGGAUAAAGCUGAGGAGAUGGUGCCGCCGCAGCGAGGACAGAGAAAAAAGUUGAAAUUGCUGCAGCAGCUGCUGUUGCUGGUGUGGAAAAGACAUGAAAAUUCAAAAGAAAACUCAGCAGUAGUGCCGCUUGGUAAAGUUGAAGCAUCCCCAUUUCUUGAAGCCUAACCCCAUUUCACUAACUUCCCAGCUUGUCUCCAACGCUCUGGAGAGUGCCAGACGCCCUAGAGACGUCGGGUAUGGGCUAUUGAUUUCAGCAAACUAUAUGGAGCAAUGCCAUAGAUGGAAGCAUUCAAAAGCUUGUCAUCUGGAGACCGCUUUAGAUGAUUCAUUGACGUAAUUAAAAGAGGUCCCGGGCUCCAUUAUUGGACUGGUGAAACAUGUUUAGAUCUUCACUUGAAGACUCGUCCGGAGCUCCAUUGCUUCCUCCAAAUGCCAUCAUCGAAGAAAUUGGAACUGCCGGCAAUUGAUGGUGG